GCGAGGCCCGGGCUUGGAGUACGGCUGGUCUGCUUAAGGGCGACCUCUCCUCCUUCCUUGGGUCCCUAGCUAGGUGGGUAGCGGGCGAAUAGUUGGCUAGCUUGUGGGUGGAUGGGGAGUCCGCAUGUAUUGUAAUCGCAUGUAAGACUCUGGCGGAUGGGGCUCUUUACCCCCUUUCUCUCUAUAAUAUAUGAUACACACGCUUGUGUGUAUCCUCAAAAAAAAAGCAAUAUUGCAUUUUCCCUUAUUUGGUUAGUUAGGCCAACUGAAUUUACUUACCUGUGUCCCUAACAAUCUAUUCCCUUCCUUUGUAGAAUAUUGCGCAUCACGACCAAUUCAGGCCAUGGAGAGAUGAUUUCAAACAGUACAAAGUUACUAUGGUAGAAAUAGAAUGAGAUCACAAACAGAAUUACAGAAGAGUUUGUGCUUUCUCGAUUGGGGUGUCACAGCCCCAGUUUCUCCUUGUUUUACUAGUUUGGUCUCCAUUGUGCAUCUUACACUGGUUGCUAUUGUUAUUUUGUCUCCAAAAACGUAGAGCUGAUGCUACCAGAAAGUAGUAGCAUAUCACUCCCCAAAAUCAAUUAUCUACAGACAGGGGUAUACCAUAGUUUGCUCAGCCUUUUCUUUCAGACAGAAGGUUUAUGGACGACAAUGUAUUGUUUUUAUAUGUGCAACUGCAGUCAUAACGUUGGAGUGCUCUCUGGUUCAUGCAUCUUUCUCAUGGAAGAGCAAGUGUGUACAAAUCAGCCUUUGGAUGGGAAAACCACUUUCUAGCGGAGUUAUAUACAUCUUUUUCUUUGAGUGAAAUAUACGUCUGUUUACAUCUGGGAUCUAGCUGCUGUUGAAUUUGACGUGGGGUUUGCCCAUGCUGAAAUUGAGCACCCUAGAUCUCAUGACGUACCUUUUCUUUUUUGACGGAACCUCGCUGUGCUCCUGAAGAAGAAUAUAUAUAUAGUUGGCUCGAUUUAUACAGAAAACUAGCUUGAAAAAGCAUACAAGGAAUGAUUGAGUAAGGGCCGAGCAUGCAAAAACCCUGAUAACGAAAAGAAAAAGAAAGAUCACCGGCCAAACUUGACCUCCACCGCCAACAUGGAUUUAUACAGGGCAUCGACCACCAUCACCAUCGGCAAUGGAGCGAAGUUGCUACUCUGGCAUGACAACCGGAGCAGUAAGGACCCCCUCAAGGCCUACGCUCCUGAGCUCUUCAAGAUCGCAACCAGAAAUAUUAGGACGAUUAUGGAGCUACAAGAUGAGAAUUAGAUCUCUGUCCUUGUCUGUCUUCAUUUCCCGGCUCAGCUCCGUGACUUGUUCACCUUUGGACGAUGCUAUCCCAUGCCGCCCUUGCUCCGGGGCAGGAGGACCGAAUAUCUUGGAACUGUACAUCCGUUGACAUUUAGGGCCUGUUUGGUUGCUACCCUGAUGCAAAGCUGCCUGGCCUGGUGCUUGCCUGAGAGCUGCCUGUUUGGUUCGAGUCCUGGAGAUCCGAUAGCAGCCUGGCCUGGAAAAGCGGAGUGCGUCAUUAGCCUGGCCAUAAAACCCAAGCUCGUUGUUAGCCUGGUCCAGGCUACCGGAACCAGACGCCUGGACGUGCCUGAGACGUGCCUGGGAUGCUAACCCUCUUGUUCAAUUUAAAAAUAGCAGAAAGUACAGAUGAACAGUGACCUGAUUUAAUAUAUUAAACACCCCCGGCCUGGACAGGAACCAAACAAUCCUCGCCUGGCCAGGCAGAAAACAACUGACAUCUCAGGCGUUGUCCAGGCACUCGAUUUUUUCAGGCAUCAGCUUCAGGACGUCAACCAAACAUGCCCUUAGUCCUUGGCUUCGGCCUACAUAACUCUCUCUUGCGGUAGAUUCCGUGUUGUUCCAUCAAUGGGACUACGGGAGUCUCGGAGUGGUCGACAAGAUGGUUUCAUCAACAUCUAAGAUUCAAAGUGUCGACAUAGUGCAAGAAUCUUCUACGCGAUUUGAACAUCUGGAAGGAGCCAAACCACCGCGUUUUCAUGGCACCCUUUCAAGGACAUCAAGCAGUGUGACUGGCUUAUGGCCUUGCCCAAGCCAACGAGGGCAUUGACGCUUUUGACCGGUUUUUAGUUGCCAUAUAGGGCUUCCACAAAUUCUCUUAAAAAAUUUGUCAUCGCUGUACAUAAGCCUCUUUUUUGUCUAAAUGAAAAGUUCCUCCGAAAAAAGAAGUUUGGACUAAACUCUAAAUGAAAAGUUUCUUCGAAAAAAGAAGUUUGGACUAAACUCUAGCUCCAAACUACAAAGAAGACUAACUUCAUCAGUUUCUACUUUUGCUUCUGGAUGAAACAAAAGCUGACAGUAAAAUUGUAAGGGUGCAGGACGACUAGACCGAAUCUGUUUGUACUAGUAGUUGGGGCGGUGUGGGUAUGUGCCCUUUCCAUUUUCUUUUUUACUGUCCGAGUGGCACAUGGACAUGCAAGCGCAAUAUAUCAGUAACAAAUUAAGAGGCAUGUUGCAUAACUCGGUUGCAUCCAUUAACAAAUAAAUAAGCAGAAGCAAGCCUGAAGAAGGCUAUGCUUACUUAGAGCACGACAGUGGCGGAGACACCGCCCAGCGACCCUGGGCACUUGCCCGGGCUCGCUGGAGCGGCGACAACAGCGAUCAACAAAAAUCUAAUAGGCCAAACCUGUUCGGUUUCCUGCUUUACCCGGGCAAAAAAAAACAUUUGGGCCUUUGUUUCGUACAGUUCACAGCCCAGGCCAAAACAAUUGACGUGAGGGAAUCAAUAGAUCGAUCUCUCUUCCCUCAAAAAAAAAAACAGAUCGAUCUCUCCUACUCCCCCUUUCUCUGUUCGUCUCUCAGGGGCGAGCGCAGGGGCUGGCGGCUGCCGGCUGGCCUUGAGCCCUAGACGGUUAGACGCACGGCCAGCGGCGAGCAGACACACGGCGCCCGGGGAGGUCUAAUCCUCCCUCAUCCGCUCCUUCCUCUCAUUCAGUUUCACCAGUUCUUUCCGUAAGAAUCCUCCAUGAAAAUUAGGGCUAGGGAUUGAAUCUCCCAAGACCUCAAGCACAACUUCAAAAGAGCAGCAGCGCUGCGCUCCUCUAUGCUAUGAUGUUAGUUAAAUUCUUAAUUACUACUACUACAUGCCUUCAGAAGAAACAAUCUUCAUACAAAAGUGUUUGAUGAUUUUUUUUUUACAUCUGAAAAGUCAUUUGGCAAUGAACCAAUAGACUUAGGGCUUAAAUUUAGAGAAGUAUGCUGAUGGCUAGAGAAAAAUUAUAUUUGUUGGAUGCUGGAAAGUGGAAACUUGUUACUUGUAGCUCAUUUUUUUAUUUACUUAUGUAGCAACUAACUUCAAGUUUUAACAUCAAAUUUCAGAGAUGAGGUGGUUUUUGGUUAAUAGAGCAAGCACUGAAAAUGUGAAUGGUGUGUAAACGGAAAUAGAAGUUGAGGAGCAGACAACACCUCACAUUGCUAAUGAAUUUAAUCCAAAUGAGAUUGAGCAUUUACUGCAAUACAGUCUCGGAAAGGGCAUUUGCCUUGUGAUUUUCUUUAGUGCACUAUUGGUAUGUCCCAUGUGACCAUAUCUAUUUUUGCAAGCUUUCUAUUUUGAAUAUAUUCACAUCACACAACUAAAUUUAUUUGAAUUAUAAAUCCAUUUUAUCCCACAGUGUCUUCUAGGACUUUGGUAACAUGGCGAGUUUGCCUCUAUGCAAGGCUGGUUUUGCGUCCUUCUUUUGGCAAAAAUGAACAAAUGAAAGAUGCUUUUUACCGUGGCAAAAGAAAUUUCACACCGACAUCUGGUAUGGAUAGCUGUACUUUUGUUGGCAACAUGGCGAGUUUUCCUCUAUGCAAGGCUAGUUAUAUGUCUUCUGUUUGUCAAGUUUAGUUUAUUUGGUCUGUGAAACUUCAUUUUUGUGACACUAUUAUGUUUAUGUUUUCACUUAGUUAUUAAUGUGGAUUUGUGGUUUGGAUGUUUGGUGCUAUAUUAUAUGUUGCGUAUCCGAAUACCCGGUUAUUGAUUUUAAAUUAUACACUUAGGCCCAACUUGCCCAGGCUCCACAAAAAUUCUGGCUCCGCCACUGGAGCACGACCUACACGACUCCAGACGCCAUCGACUCUGAUGGCCAUGAUGAGGAUGCUUGCGCGACAAGGCUGGAGGAGAAAAACCUGACCCUGCAUGCCCGGCUGUUCCUGGCGGAGAGCAACAUGGCCGACCUUCACCGCCACCUCGUCGGCGUCGAGUCCCUCUGCCGCCGUUCUUUUGUGCCGUCUUCCUUCCAUUCCCUUAUCCCUUAGCCACCACAUCCUUGAGAAUACAACCUCAAGCACCGACACAUCACCUGCAACCCGAAUACAAUUAUCGCCAAAGCUAGUGCAAGAUCAAAGACAGCAAAAUGAGAAGGUACAUUUGUUGCUUGUGUAUAGACAGGGAAUGAAUAUGCAGUGAUCCAGAUCAGUUCAACAGAUAGUAGGUUGUACCUCGUGUUUGACAUCCAAGCACUUCUUGAUGUGCCCAUGCCAGCCUGAGGAGGCUGGGAGCUCUCCUAUUGCCUGCAUUGCAUGUGUACUCAUAAAUUUAAAAACAGCUUGGCUAAAAGCUCAUAUCACUUUCAGAAUAAAACUUUGUAAAGCAGAGUUUGAUAACAAAACCAUGAGGUGAACCAGGAUUUUUGAUAAAUAUAAAAUCAAGAGGCCAUGUUAUACUCCAACAACCUAUAUUACAAAAUCGUCAGUUUUAUCAUCAUAAUGUGAACAUGGAAUCAAUAUCAUUGAUUACAUAAGAUGCAUUGUUUUUGACAGUGCAAUCGCAUACCUGCCACUAUAUAUCCAUUUAGGCUGGGAGCUCUCCUAUUGCCUGCAUUAUCUACGCUAGAAGGCUGCUUUAAAACUGAAGCAAGAAGCGUUAAAAUAAAAGUGCAAUACAAACAAUUCAUUACUAAAAAAAGGGAAUGAAUAUGACUCUCAUCGUCCCUGAUAAUGAGAAGGUACCAGAUAGAAGAGCGCUACAUCUAUAUGGCAACACUUAAAAAUAUGGACAAAUGUUGGGGAAUGUAGUAAUUUCAAAAAAAUUCCUACGCACACACAAGAUCAUGGUGAUGUAUAGCAACAAGAGGGAGAGUGUGUCCACGUAUCCUCGUAGACCGAAAGCGGAAGCGUUAGCACAACACGGUUGAUGUAGUCGUACGUCUUCACGAUCCGACCGAUCAAGUACCGAAUGUACGGCACCUCCGAGUUCAGCACACGUUAAGCUCGAUGACGUCCCUCGAACCCCGAUCCAGCCGAGCUUUGAGGGAGAGUUCCGUUAGCACGACGGCAUGGUGACGAUGAUGAUGUUCUACCGACGCAGGGCUUCGCCUAAGCACCGCUACGAUAUUAUCGAGGUGGAUUAUGGUGGAAGGGGGCACCACACACGGCUAAGAGAUCCAAGGGAUCAAUUGUUGUGUCUCCAAGGGGUGCCUCCCUCCCCGUAUAUAAAGGAGUGGAGGAGGGGGGAGGCGGCCGGCCACCCUAGGCGUGCCCCAUGAGGAGUCCUACUCCCACCGGGAGUAGGACUUCCCCCUUCCAAGUGGGAGUAGGAGAGGAGAGGGAAGGAGAUAGAGGGGGAAAGGAAAGGGGGGCGCCGCCCCCCUCCUUGUCCAAUUCGGACUGGGGGGGGGGGCUGCCCUUGGCCGCCCCCCUCUUCUCCACUAGGGCCCAAUAGGCCCAUUAGUCUCCCCGGGUGGUUCCGGUAAUCCCCCGGUACUCCGGUAUAUGCCCGAUACUCUCCGAAACCAUUCCGGCAUCCGAACAUAGUCGUCCAAUAUAUCAAUCUUUAUCUCUCGACCAUUUCGAGACUCCUCGUCAUGUCCGUGAUCACAUCCGGGACUCCGAACUACCUUCGGUACAUCAAAAAAUAUAAACUCAUAAUAUAACAGUCAUGUAACUUUAAGCGUGCGGACCCUACGGGUUCGAGAACUAUGUAGACAUGACCGAGACACGUCUCCGGCCAAUAACCAAUAGAGGAACCUGAAUGCUCAUAUUGGCUCCCACAUAUUCUACGAAGAUCUUUAUCGAUUAAACCGCAUAACAACAUACGUUGUUUCCUUUGUCAUCGUAUGUUACUUGCCCAAGAUUCGAUCGUCGGUAUCUCAAUACCUAGUUCAAUCUCGUUACCGGCAAGUCUCUUUACUCAUUACGUAAUGCAUCAUCCCCGUAACUAACUCAUUAGCUACAUUUCUUGCAAGGCUUAUAGUGAUGUGCAUUACCGAGAGGGCCUAGAGAUACCUCUCCGACAAUCGGAGUGAUAAAUCAUAAUCUCGAAAUACGUCAACUCAACAAGUACCUUCGGAGACACCUGUAGAGCACAUUUAUAAUCACCCAGUUACGUUGUGACGUUUGGUAGCACACAAAGUGUUCCUCCGGUAAGUGGGAGUUACAUAAUCUCAUAGUCAUAGGAACAUCUAUAAGUCAUGAAGAAAGCAAUAACAACAUACUAAACGAUCAAGUGCUAAGCUAACAAAAUGGGUCAAGUCAAUCACAUCAUUCUCCUAAUGAUGUGAUCCCACUGAGCAAAUGAUAACUCAUAUCCAUGGUUAGGAAACUCAACCAUCUUUGAUCAAUGAGCUAGUCAAGUAGAGGCAUACUAGUGACACUAUGUUUGUCUAUGUAUUCACACAUGUAUUAUGUUUCCGGUUAAUACAGUUCUAGCAUGAAUAAUAAACAUUUAUCAUGAUAUGAGGAAAUAAAUAAUAACUUUAUUAUUGGCUCUAGGGCAUAUUUCCUUCAGUCUCCCACUUGCACUAGAGUCAAUAAUCUAGAUUACACAGUAAUGAUUCUAACACCCAUGGAGCCUUGGUGUUGAUCAUGUUUUGCUCGUGGAAGAGGCUUAGUCAACGGGUCUGCAACAUUCAGAUUCGUAUGUAUCUUGCAAAUCUCUAUGUCUCCCACCUGGACUUGGUCCCGGAUGGAAUUGAAGCGUCUCUUGAUGUGUUUGGUUCUCUUGUGAAAUCUGGAUUCCUUUGCCAAGGCAAUUGCACCAGUAUUAUCAUAAAAGAUUUUCAUUGGACCCGAUGCACUAGGUAUGACACCGAGAUCGGAUAUGAACUCCUUCAUCCAGACUCCUUCAUUUGCUGCUUCCGAAGCAGCUAUGUAUUCCGCUUCACAUGUAGAUCCCGCCACGACGCUUUGUUUAGAACUGCACCAACUGACAGCUCCACCGUUCAAUAUAAACACGUAUCCGGUUUGCGAUUUAGAAUCGUCCGGAUCAGUGUCAAAGCUUGCAUCGACGUAACCAUUUACGACUAGCUCUUUGUCACCUCCAUAAACGAGAAACAUAUCCUUAGUCCUUUUCAAGUAUAUCAGGAUGUUCUUGACCGCUGUCCAGUGAUCCACUCCUGGAUUACUUUGGUACCUCCCUGCUAAACUAAUAGCAAGGCACACAUCAGGUCUGGUACACAACAUUGCAUACAUGAUAGAGCCUAUUGCUGAAGCAUAGGGAACAUCUUUCAUUUUCUCUCUAUCUUCUGUAGUGGUCGGGCAUUGAAUCUGACUCAAUUUCACACCUUGUAUUACAGGCAAGAACCCUUUCUUUGCUCUAUCCAUUUUGAAAUUUUUCAAAAUUAUGUACUUUGUGAAAGUUCAAUUAAGCGUCUUGAUCUAUCUCUAUAGAUUUUGAUGCCCAAUAUAUAAGCAGCUUCACCGAAGUCUUUCAUUGAAAAACUUUUAUUCAAGUAUCCUUUUAUGCUAUCCAGAAAUUCUAUAUCAUUUCCAAUCAACAAUAUGUCGUCCACAUAUAAUAUUAGAAAUGCUACAGAGCUCCCACUCACUUUCUUGUAAAUACAGGCUUCUCCAAAAGUCUAUAUAAAACCAUAUACUUUGAUCACACUAUCAAAGUGUUUAUUCUAACUCCGAGAGGCUUGCACCAGUCCAUAAAUGGAUCGCUAGAGCUUGCACACUUUGUUACCACCUUUUGGAUCGACAAAACAUUCUGGUUGCAUCAUAUACAACUCUUCUUCCAGAAAUCCAUUCAGGAAUGCAGUUUUGACAUCCAUUUGCCAAAUUUCAUAAUCAUAAAAUGUAGCAAUUGCUAACAUGAUUCGGACAGACUUAAGCAUCGCUACGGGUGAGAAAGACUCAUUAGUCAACCCCUUGAACUUGUUGAAAACCUUUCGCAACAAGUCGAGCUUUGUAGACAGUAACAUUACCAUCAGCGUCAGUCUUCUUCUUGAAGAUCCAUAUUCUCAAUGGCUUGCCGAUCAUCGGGCAAGUCAACCAAAGUCCAUACUUUGUUCUCAUACAUGGAUCCCAUCUCAGAUUUCAUGGCCUUAAGCCAUUUUGCGGAAUCUGGGCUCAUCAUCGCUUUCUCAUAGUUCGUAGGUUCGCCAUGGUCAAGUAACAUUACCUCCAGAAUAGGAUUACCGUACCACUCUGGUGCUGAUCUUACUCUGGUUGACCUACGAGGUUCGGUAGUAACUUGAUCUGAGUUUUCAUGAUCAAUAUCAUUAGCUUCCUCACUAAUUGGUGUAGUCAUCACAGGAACCGGUUUCUGUGAUGAACUAUUUUCCAAUAAGGGAGCAGGUACAGUUACCUCAUCAAGUUUUACUUUCCUCCCACUCACUUCUUUCGAGAGAAACUCCUUCUCUAGAAAGGAUCCAUUCUUGGCAACGAAUGUCUUGCCUUCGGAUCUGUGAUAGAAGGUGUACCCAACAGUUUCCUUUGGGUAUCCUAUGAAGACACAUUUCUCCGAUUUGGGUUCGAGCUUAUCAUGUUGAAGCUUUUUCACAUAAGCUUCACAGCCCCAAACUUUAAGAAACGACAACUUUGGUUUCUUGCCAAACCACAAUUCAUAAGGCGUCGUCUCAACGGAUUUUCAUGGUGCCCUAUUUAACGUGAAUGCAGCCGUCUCUAAAGCAUAACCCCAAAAUGAUAGCGAUAAAUCAGUAAGAGACAUCAUAGAUCACACCAUAUCUAGUAAAGUACGAUUAUGACGUUUGGACACACCAUUAUGCUGUGGUGUUCCGGGUGGCGUGAGUUGCGAAACUAUUCUGCAUUGUUUCAAAUGUAGACCAAACUCGUAACUCAAAUAUUCUCCUCCACGAUCAGAUCAUAGAAACUUUAUUUUCUUGUUACGAUGAUUUUUAACUUCACUCUGAAAUUCUUUGAACUUUUCAAAUGUUUCAGACUUAUGUUUCAUUAAUUAGAUAUAUCCAUAUCUGCUUAAAUCAUCUGUGAAGGUGAGAAAAUAACGAUACUCUCCGCGAACCUCAACAUUCAUUGGACCACAUACAUCAGUAUGUAUGAUCUCCAACAAAUCAGUUGCUCGUUCCAUAGUUCCGGAGAACGGCGUAUUAGUCAUCUUGCCCAUGAGGCAUGGUUCGCAAGUACCAAGUGAUUCAUAAUCAAGUGAUUCCAAAAGUCCAUCAGUAUGGAGUUUCUUCAUGCGCUUUACACAGAUAUGACUCAAACGGCAAUGCCACAAAUAAGUUGCACUAUCAUUAUCAACUCUGCAUCUUUUGGCUUCAACAUUAUGAAUAUGUGUAUCACUACUAUCGAGAUUCAUCAAAAAUAGACCACUCUUCAAGGGUGCAUGACCAUAAAAGAUAUUACUCAUAUAAAUAGAACAACCAUUAUUCUCAGAUUUAAAUGAAUAAUAGUCUCGCAUCAAACAAGAUCCAGAUAUAAUGUUCAUGCUCAAAGCUGGCACCAAAAAACAAUUAUUUAGGUCUAAAACUAAUCCCGAAGGUAGAUGUAGAGGUAGCGUGCCAACGGCGAUCACGUCAACUUUGGAACCAUUUCCCACGCGCAUCGUCACCUCGUCCUUAGCCAGUGUUCGCUUAAUCCAUAGUCCCUGUUUUGAGUUGCAAAUAUUAGCAACAAAACCAGUAUCAAAUACCCAGGUGCUACCGUGAGCUCUGGUAAGGUAGACAUCAAUAACAUGUAUAUCACAUAUACCUUUGUUCACCUUGCCAUCCUUCUUAUCCGCCAAAUACUUGGGGCAGUCCCGUUUCCAGUGACCAGUCUGCUUGCAGUAGAAGCACUCGGUCUCAGGCUUAGGUCAAGACUUGGGUUUCUUCUCUUGAGCAGCAGCUUGUUUGAUGUUCUUUUUGAAGUUCCCCUUCUUCUUCCCUUUGCCCUUUUUCUUGAAACUGGUGGUCUUAUUGACCAUCAACACUUGAUGCUCCUUCUUGAUUUCUACCUCUGUAGCCUUUAGCAUUGCGAAGAGCUCGAGAAUUGUCUUAUCCAUCCCUUGCAGGUUAUAGUUCAUCAUGAAGCUCUUGUAGCUUGGUGGCAAUGAUUGAAGAAUUCUGUCAAUGACGCUAUCAUCCGGAAGAUUAACUCCCAGUUGAAUCAAAUGAUUGUUAUACCCAAACAUUCUAAGUAUAUGCUCACUGAGAGAACUAUUCUCCUCCAUCUUGCAGCUGUAGAACUUAUUGGAGACUUCAUAUCUCUUCAUCCGGGCAUUUGCUUGAAAUAUUAACUUCAACUCCUAGAACAUCUCAUAUGCUCCAUGAUGUUCAAAACGUCGUUGAAGUCCCGGUUCUAAGACGUAAAGUAUGGCACAUUGAACUAUUGAGUAGUCAUCAACUUUGCUUUGCCAGACGUUCUUAACGUCAUCAGUUGCAUCUGCAGCAGGCCUGGCGCCCAUCGGUGCUUCCAGGACGUAAUUUUUCUAUGCAGCAAUGAGGAUAAUCCUCAAGUUAUGGACCCAGUCCGUGUAAUUGCUACCAUCAUCUUUCAACUUUGCUUUCUCAAGGAACGCAUUAAAAUUAAAUGGAACAACAUCACGAGCCAUCUAUCUACAACAACAUAGACAUGCAAAAUACUAUCAGGUACUAAGUUCAUGAUAAAUUUAAGUUCAAUUAAUCAUAUUACUUAAGAUUUCCCACUUAGAUAGACAUCCCUCUAAUCAUCUAAGUGAUCACGUGAUCCAAAUCAACUAAACCAUAACCGAUCAUCACGUGAAAUGGAGUAGUUUUCAAUGGUGAAUAUCACUAUGUUGAUCAUAUCUACUAUAUGAUUCACGCUCGACCUUUCGGUCUCAGUGUUUCGAGGCCAUAUCUGCAUAUGCUAGGCUCGUCAAGUUUAACCUGAGUAUUCUUUGUGUGCAAAACUGACUUGCACCCGUUGUAGAUGGACGUAGAGCUUAUCACACCCGAUCAUCAUGUGGUGUCUGGGCACGACGAACUUUGGCAACGGUGCAUACUUAGGGAGAACACUUUUAUCUUGAAAUUUAGUGAGAGAUCAUCUUAUAAUGCUACCGUCAAUCAAAGCAAGAUAAGAUGCAUAAAAGAUAAACAUCACAUGCAAUCAAUAUAAGUGAUAUGACAUGGCCAUCAUCAUCUUGUGCUUGCGAUCUCCAUCUCUGAAGCACCGUCAUGAUCACCAUCUUCACCGGCGCGACACCUUGAUCUCCAUCGUAGAAUCGUUGUCGUCUCGCCAACUAUUGCUUCUACGACUAUCGCUACCGCUUAGUGAUAAAGUAAAGAAAUUACAAGGCAAUUGCAUUGCAUACAAUAAAGCGACAACCAUAUGGCUCCUGCCAGUUGCCGAUAACUUGGUUACAAAACAUGAUCAUCUCAUACAAUAAAAUAUAGCAUCAUGCCUUGACCAUAUCACAUCACAACAUGCCCUGCAAAAACAAGUUAGACGUCCUCUACUUUGUUGUUGCAAGUUUUACGUGGCUGCUACGGGCUGAGCAAGAACCGUUCUUAUCUAGACAUCAAAACCACAACGAUAGUUCGUCAAGUUAGUGUUGUUUUAACCUUCUCAAGGACCGGGCGUAGCCACACUCGGUUCAACUAAAGUUGGAGAAACUGACACCCGCCAGCCACCUGUGUGCAAAGCACGUCGGUAGAACCAGUCUCGCGUAAGCGUACGUGUAAUGUCGGUUCGGACCGCUUCAUCCAACAAUACCGCCGAACCAAAGUAUGACAUGCUGGUAAGCAGUAUGACUUGUAUCGCCCACAACUCACUUGUGUUCUACUCGUGCAUAUAACAUCUACGCAUAAACCUGGCUCGGAUGCCACUGUUGGGGAACGUAGUAAUUUCAAAAAAUUUCCUACGCACACAUAAGAUCAUGGUGAUGUAUAGCAACGAGAGGGGAGUGUGUGUCCACGUACCCUCAUAGACCGAAAGCGGAAGCGUUAUCACAACACGAUUGAUGUAGUCGUACGUCUUCUCGAUCCGACCGAUCAAGUACCGAACGUACGACACCUCCGAGUUCAGCACACAUUCAGCUCGAUGACGUCCCUCGAACUCCGACCCAGCCGAGCUUUGAGGGAGAGUUCCGUCAGCAUGACGACAUGGUGACGAUGAUGAUGUUCUACCGACGAAGGGCUUCGCCUAAGCACCGCUACUAUAUUAUCGAGGUGGAUUAUGGUGGAGGGGUGUGACGCCCGGAUAAUCAAGCUACAGUAACCUCUAAUAAUGAUACCACGUCACAACGGUUACUGUUGUUAAUCUCGUGAUGAUUCAAAUCCUGUUCAUUUUUAAAAUUCAAAAUCAAGCUAAACAAUAAAAGUUUUUAAAUGUCAAAACUAAAAUGUUCGAAUAAUUCUGUAAAUCCCCCUGAUCGUUGUCAUGUUGAAACCAACUUCAUUUGACUCACCAAUAGAUUCCUAGUAAAUUAAUGAGUGGUCCUACAACAAAUACCCUGGCCUUUUCAAAACAAAUAAAGUUUAUGAAUUUAAAAUUUGACUUGAAACUUUGUGGGUCUCUCUAGAGUAAUGACAUAUACUUAUGUGUGGAGUUCCAUCUAAAACAAGGAUUGUUUGCUCACUCAAAUAAAUGCAAACAAUAGCUAUUUAUUUGACAAAAAAAUGAGAGAACAAAAAGCCUACCUAAUGUGUAAUUGGGCCUAAGUCUACUGGGAGGCCCAACCCACACCCCACUCAUCUCCCCCCUCGCUACAGGAGCAGAGAAGGGGAUCGAUCGUGGCGGCCAUCUGUAGGCCAUGGCCGCGCCAUGCCUUGCGUGUCGGCCAUCCGACACACCCGGCGCCCUACAAAAAGCCGUUGACCCUCCCCCUCUGUCGAACCCUAGUUGUUUCCCCCCUCUUCCUCGCCUCUCCCUCGCUCUGGAUCGAUCUACUAGCCACGUACAGGAGCACGCCGCCGCGAACCACCAUGGCCUUUGGCGCCAGUUCGCCGUCCGCUGGUGUCGAGGAGGACCGCCGUCCUCGUCUACGGUGGCUUCGGGGCCAGAUCGAGCCGGGGGAGCCGCCCCAUCGUCGCCACCGUCUUCGUCUUCACCGUUGGUCGCCGAAGCUCGUUGUCAUCGAUUCGCCAUCAUCAGUGCCUCCCCGAGCCCACUGACCUGCCCUACCAGAUCUUCGUGAGCCCCUCCUCCAAUCCCCCUUCUUCCCACAUGCGCGUGCUGUCGCCCGAGGUCGUACUCGGCUCGUCCGCGCGUGCGCGCUCGUCUGCGUACUGCUGCGUAGCUGCUGCUUCCCCACAGCCUCGCACCUGGCCUCGCACCUGCCCCUGUGCAGUGCCUGCUCGCCUCGCGCCGCCUCCUCUGUCGCCCCACCGCGUCGCCGGCGAUCCCCAUGGCUACCUCCGGCGUCCAGCGCCAGCGGCCUGGCGCGUUCGCCUCUGUCGUGGCCGUUUGAGCGGGCGUCCACGCCAGCCCCGUGAUGUCCUUCGCCCGCUAGGCUCCUGGGGUUAUGACAGCGGGGCCCAUGCCCCUGUUUUUUAAAAGAAAUGUAAAAAAAUAUAUUUGUAAUAAAAAUAAUUAGUUAAUUAGUUAAAUAGUUAAUUAACUUAAUUAGUUAAACUUAAUUAGCCUAACCACCUAGUUUAGUUAACUAAACUGUUAGAGUAAACUAAAUGAGUCAAUGAUAGGGGGGUCCCACCCCUGUUGACCAGUCAAACGUUGACUGGUCAACUGGGUCCCCCCUGGCCCACUGUCAGCCACUGGGUACACUUUUGUGUACCCUGUGCUGGGUGCGCCUAGCAAUUUAGCAUUUAUUUUCGAAUUAAAAAUAAUUUUAGAAUAAAUUUAAAACUUUGAAAAAUCAUAGAAAAUUAACCAUAGCUCGGAUCAAAAAGCUUUGUACAUGAAAGUUGCUCAGAACGACGAGACGAAUCCAAAUACGUGGUCUGUUCGCCCGCCACACAUCCUUAGCAUAGCGAACAUGCAACCUUUCUCCUCCGGUUCAUCUGUCUGACAGACGUCCGGAACCGGGAAAACUUUCCCGGAUGUCUCCCCCUUCGCCAGUAUCGCCUAUCACUGCGUUAGAACACCUCUAGCUUCGCUUUAUGUCAUGUUAUGCAUAUGUCCGCGUGUAUUUACUGUUUCUUCCCCUUCUUCUCUCUGGUAGACCUUGAGACCGCUGCUGAUGCCACUGUGAUCGACUACGUCGACGACGACCCUCCUUCUUGUCUGAGCAACCAAGCAAGCCCCCCCUUUGAUCAUCCUGAUAUCACCCAUUCUAUACUCUCAUGCUUGCAUUAGAUUUGGCUACUGUUAUUGUUUGCUCCUAUUCUGAUGCAUAGCCUGCUUUUGUACCUGCUAUUGUUACCUACCUGCUUAUCCUAAACUGCUUAGUAUAGGUUGGCUAGUGAUCCAUCAGUGACCUCCCCACUUGUCCUUGUUGCCCCUGCUUCAUCAUCGACGCCUCGAUCGACGUGAUCGACGACCAGAGCCCGACACCUCACAUCACCUCACGCCCCUUUAGUUGCUCAACUUUGCAGAGCUACUAUCGAGUGUCAAGGGUGAUCCCUCAUAACGCACUCCUGAUGAUAAUUCUGUAGUGUAGCUAUUCAGUCGUGGUCAUCGAGGGUGAUUUCCUCUUUCACCGUUCCCGAUACGGCUCUGUCGUUCAACACCUCAAGUGUGAACCUCGGGGGUGGUCCCUCUUACGUUCACCUUGAUGAUUACAUUGAGUGGAAUCCACCGGGGGUGAUUCCUUGGGUUUUCCCCUUGAUGUUUGGACACACGGUUACCUUGACUUUACUUGAGACCUUGGUGAAAGUCGGGCGAGCCCGGAGAGCACCCGCAAGAUAAUGACGUGGCACGGCCGGGCAUUCUGAGCCCUUGUCGUAAGUCCACGAGACGGGGCGACGGGGUCACUUUUGAUCGUGAGUCUCUGCUCGUCUCCGCAAGCUAAUAAUACACUAUGGUUUGGGUAUUUGUUCCGAGUUGGCCUCUGGCCUUUACGCACUAACCACCACGCGAGAAUAGAUAUGGGCCUCGACGUCGCAUUAUCAGUCGAAGCUUUGUUAGACGUCCAGUUCAACAUUGUGGCACGGUCGGAUCGUGCUGGCCAUCCGAGGCGGUGCUGGUAUCCACCCUGCACACAACGACCCGGAGUGCUGCGGGCGAUGGGCCCAAGACCCCGGAGUGCUUAGAUGUAGACCGGUGGGGACCUCUCUGCUGAGCCUAGGUAGGGUUGCGACGUGUUGAUCUUCCGAGGGCGGGCAUUGACCCCAUAAAGGUGUGUCCGGCCAGAUUGAUCGAGCGUGUUGGGUAACGUGGUGCACCCCUGCAGGGAAGAUUAUCUAUUAAUAGUCGUGUCCACGGUAACGGAAGUUCAGACUUAUAUCCUGAUCUUAUACAACUACAAAUGGAUACUUGAGAUAUGUGGCUUCGGGAUUGCUUUCUCGCAGGGAGUCGAGGAAGGAUCUCUGGGCAUUAAUGUUACAACAUGUUUGUUAAAUAUUAAACUGCUAUUCUUUACUCUUCUACAUGCUGCAAGAUGCUCGGAGCUGCGUGAAGAUGCUAGUCUUCGAUAGGCUAGGCCUUCCCCCUCUAUUCUGGCAUUCUGCAGUUCAGUCCACAGAUACAACCCUUCCAUUUGAUACCAAUGCAUACUUAGUAUAGAUCUGAUGCUUGCGAGUACUUUGGAUGAGUACUCAUGGUUGCUUUGCCACCCCUUUUCCCCCUUCUUUCUUUCCUUUCCGGUUGAUGCAACCAGAUGGUGGAUCCUUGGAGCCAGAUGCCACCGCCGAUGGAUGUUACUACGUGAAGACCGCCGACGACCAGGAGUAGUUAGGAUGUCCCAGGCAGGAGGCCUUGCCUCUUCGAUCGUGUUGCUUUUAUGCUAGCCUUCUUAAGGCAGUCUUGUUUAACUUAUGUCUGUACUCAGAUAUUGUUGCUUCCGCUGACUCUUGUGUAUCGAGCUUGUAUUCGAGCCCUCGAGGCCCCUGGCUUGUAAUAUAAAGCUCAUAUUAUUUUAUUUGUGUCUAGAGUUGUGUUGUGAUAUCUUCCCGUGAGUCCCUGAUCUUGAUCGUACACAUUUGCGUGUAUGACUAGUGUACGAUUGAAUCGGGGGCGUCACAAGGGGGGCACCGCACACGGCUAAGAGAUCGGAUCAAUUGUUGUGUCUCCAAGGGGUGCCUCCCUCCCCGUAUAUAAAGGAGUGGAGGAGGGGGAGGGGGCCGGCCACCCUAGGCGCGCCCCAUGAGGAGUCCUACUCCCACCGGGAGUAGGACUUCCCCCUUCCAAGUGGGAGUAGGUGAGGAGAGGGAAGGAGAGAGAGGCGGAAAGGAAAGGGGGGCGCCGCCCCCCUCCUUGUCCUAUUCGGACUGGGGGGGGGGGAAGGGGACACGCGGCUGCCCUUGGCCGCCCCUCCUCUUCUCCACUAGGGCCCAAUAGGCCCAUUAGUCUCCCCGGGGGGUUUCGAUAACCCCCCAAUACUCCGGUAUAUGCCCAAUACUCCCCGAAACCAUUCCGGUGUCCGAACAUAGUCGUCCAAUAUAUCAAUCUUUAUGUCUCGACCAUUUCGAGACUCCUCGUCAUGUCCGUGAUCACAUCCGGGACUCCGAACUACCUUCGGUACAUCAAAACAUAUAAACUCAUAAUAUAACCGUCAUCUAACUUUAAGCGUGCGGACCCUACGGGUUCGAGAACUAUGUAGAUAUGACCGAGACACGUCUCCGGUCAAUAACCAAUAGCGAAACCUGGAUGCUCAUAUUGGCUCCCACAUAUUCUACGAAGAUCUUUAUCGGUCAACCGCAUAACAACAUACGUUGUUCCCUUUGUCAUCGGUAUGUUACUUGCCCGAGAUUCGACCGUCGGUAUCUCAAUACCUAGUUCAAUCUCGUUACCGGCAUGUCUCUUUACUCGUUAUGUAAUGCAUCAUCCCGUAACUAACUCAUUAGCUACAUUUCUUGCAAGGCUUAUAGUGAUGUGCAUUACCGAGAGGGCCCAGAGAUACCUCUCCGACGAUCGGAGUGACAAAUGCUAAUCUCGAAAUACGUCAACUCAACAAGUACUUUCGGAGACACCUGUAGAGCACCUUUAUAAUCACCCAGUUACGUUGUGAUGUUUGGUAGCACACAAAGUGUUCCUCCGAUAAGCGGGAGUUACAUAAUCUCAUAGUCAUAGGAACAUGUAUAAGUCAUGAAGAAAGCAAUAACAACAUACUAAACGAUCAAGUGCUAAGCUAACGAAAUGGGUCAAGUCAAUCACAUCAUUCUCCUAAUGAUGUGAUCCCACUGAUCAAAUGAUAACUCAUAUCCAUGGUUAGGAAACUCAACCAUCUUUGAUCAAUGAGCUAGUCAAGUAGAGGCAUACUAGUGACACUAUGUUUGUCUAUGUAUUCAGACAUGUAUUAUGUUUCCGGUUAAUACAAUUCUAACAUGAAUAAUAAACAUUUAUCAUGAUAUGGGAAAAUAAAUAAUAACUUUAUUAUUGCCUCUAGGUUAUAUUUCCUUCAACAAAAGCAAUGUUAAUAAGUGAGAGAUUGUCCCAACUAAAUUCGCUAUAUUUUGUGUUCUCCUCUACAGUAGCAUGAUCAUGUAGUAUGAUCAGUGUGAAGAAAGAAAAAUGUUUCUGAAUUAUGGUGUGGGUCUUAAGAAAAUUAUGUGAAAAGAAUGUAAUAAGAACUGUAUAUAUAGGCACUGACGUAAGUUUUCUCAUUUUAAAUCUUUUCCUUUCAGGUCUGUUAAUCUAGAGAGGAUAUGUAUCCUUUUCUUCUAUAGCAUUGUCCACAUAGGAUUAGAAACAGUGCCUCAGAUCGAGUCGCGAGUGGAUUGUCCAUUCUGCCGAAGAACCGAACGAGAGACAAAAAGAGAGAAACAGAUCGCCCAGCCCCAGCCACCAUUCUCCAUUCCCCAGCCCCUGAUUCCUCCCCCUCGCCCUCUCCCUUGUCUGCCAAUAUUGACACAAACUACUAAUACCAUAGAAUGAUAUAUGAUCAUUAGGUGAAAUUCAUUAUCUUCCUGUAGUUUCUUUUCCUACACUGAACGAGAUAUCGGCACCACAAACACAAAUCAUGAUCCCAAGAGGCCAUCAAAGAGAUGAUAGGGGAUGACGCGCUAAAAUCAUACCUUUCAUGGGACCAAAAACUGGACGAAUAGUUAGAUCAGAUAGAAAAUGACAGCAUCCAUAAUAACCAAAUAAGUGCAUUUCUAUCAAAGAUAUAAACCUUUGGAUCUAAGUGUAGUCCAGAGAGAUGUCCCUCCUGAAACUGUGGAUGCAAUGAAGAGGAAUGUUUUAGGCAUAUUGGGUCUGCUUCCGUCUGAUCAGUGAGAGGGAGACCCCUGGCCUGGUGUACUGAGAGGGUGAAGGGUGAGUCCAUACAGGCCAAUCUCCUUACCGUCUGUUUAGGAAGACAACUUGAUUACCAUAUCCGUUGAAAAGGUUUUGAAGCAUCAGGAGGAUUUUCAAUAAGUUUAAGAUAUAUUCUUUUAUUUGAGUAUCUAUUGCUAGACCAGUAGGACUGCCAUGUAUCUUUGCCGCUGUUGAUGGGCUGGCAACGGAUGGUUUCCAGCUAGGAAUUCUAAGUUAUUUGGUUUACGCUAAUAGAUUAGCACACCUGUGAUUUCCAGCUAAAAUGGGUUGGCACCGGAUCUUUUCUAGCUAAGAAUUCUAAGUUACUUAUUUUGUUUUACAAUAGUAGAUUUGUUUUUAUUCAAUGCAUUUAUUUCAAAUAAUUAGCACACCUACAAUUUCCAGCUAAAAAUGGGCUGGCACUGAAUGUAUUUCCAGCUAAGAAUACCAAGUUAUUUGCUUUUACACCAGUGGAUUACUACUUUUUAUUUGCUGCAUUUAUUUCAAAAUGAUUAGCACAAUUAUAUCACGACUCUUCUAUUGGAUGCACUGCCAAUGUUAGCCUUCCAGAAAAAUCAGCUGUAAUUACGAAUUAAAACUUGCUAAAUAUAUGCAAAUACUAGAUUGGAGUACUAUUCCGUCAAUCAGGCGCCGUUGGAUAGCUUCCCGAGCUGGAGUGUUCCCAUCCCGGCCGUCUAGUCAACACUCCCCUCUGGCUUCUCGCAAGAUAUUCGGCUGUCAAAAGAAAACUUCAGAUUUAGACGAGGCGCCUCUUCGUCCGUUUCCAUUCGCUGCCAACCCACACACAAAGCCCCAACCAUGCCACCACGGCCACGCGCUCCAAGCUCCGGCGCCAACUCCAUCGCCGCUGAGAUGGGCGCCCAGGGAAUCCCUGCCCGGGGCGGCUCCCCUCCCCCUCCCGUCACCACCAAGCACGACGCGUCUGGCGCUGGCGAAGCCCAAAGCUGCCCCGUCCGCUCCCCGGCCUCGGAAGGAAGCGACCGCUCGGUGGAGGAGAAGAACUCCCCAGGGGAAAUCCCUUGGUACGAUAAAUUGGAGGACAUAGAUGAGGAGUACCGCAAGUACUUGAGUUGCGUGCGCUUUGUGAAUGGCCACCAAAUAGUGGUCGUGCCGGAAGGCGGGCUGGAAGCGGUGCCGGCUCGAGUUGUUGACAAGUCUAAUGGGGCAGGGAAGAAGGAUGGGGAGGAAGCGGCUGCUCAUGCUGCUUCGGGGGAGAAGGGCAGCAGCGUUGGGAGCAAGGAGAAGCGGAAGGGGAAGGGAAAGGUGGCGGCGAUCACCACGAGUGGGAAAUCUCGUGUGCGCGAUUACGACCCUGCGCAUCGGCAAAAAGUGUUGGUGAUGGACCGCAAGGUUACACGAUACGGGCAGGACGAGGUGUCGGUUCCAGUUGGUGACAAGUCUGAUGGGGCAGGGAAGAAGGAUGGGGUGGAAGCGGCUUCCCGUGCUACUUCACGGAAGAACGGCUGCGGCGUUGGGAAGAAGGAGAAGGGAAAGAGGAAGGUGGCGGCGAUCACCAUGGGCGGGCCUGCGCUGAAGUCUCGUGUGGCCGAUUCCAGUGCGCAUCCGCAAAAGGUAAAAUCGUUUCUCCCCUCUCGAGUUAAAUAUGUGUCGCGUUUCUAAGGCAGAAUAUACGCUUGUUAUAUAUACAUGUGCGAACAGGGUCAGAAGGAGAAGAAUAAGGAACGGAAAAAUGAUGCUAAGAAGAUGAAGGUGGCGGCGGAACCGCAUCCGGAAACACUGAACACUGCUUCGGUAAGAAUUCCCUAUGCCUUUAAAAUUUUUUCUCCCGAACUGCACCGUGUCUUAGUACUAGAGAUGUGGUUUGUGGUUUGUCUUUGUGGUUAUGGGUAGAUAUGCCACAUAAGAGUCUACAAGUAUGCGAGUGCCCGGCUGGAUUAAGAGGUAUUGGUUGUGUUUUAGCUGACAUUAGGCUUCGAUUUGACAAGUAGAAAACUGGAGCAGUUUGUCUAAUUCACAUGUAGAUGUUUUUUAAGGAUGUCACAUCUAAGCUCCCAUAAAUAUAUAACGCAGCAACAAGAAACAAAAAAAAAACUAGGACAAAAAAAGACCACAAACAAAGUGUACAUCAGCUUAGAUGUGACAUAACUAAGUCACAUCUAGAUGUGUCCUAAACAGACCCAAAGGUGUUAUUGCUAGAUUUGCCUACUGAUGCUGCUGCGAAAGGUGUCAUCACAUGGCUGCCAUUGGCAUUUUUGGGUGCCAAAAAAAAUAUCCUAGAGUGCAUUGCAAGUGAAGGGAUGCUUUUUUCUUUGGAAAAUUCACCCGUACAAAUUCUAAACUGAAUCGCUGUGAUGGCGCCAGAAAAGAAUUCUGAACUGAAGGUAAAAUGAUGUUACCCUGAAAAUUCUGAACUGAAUCCAUGUCGUUGUUGUGGUUUUAGCUGUUUUCGGUGUGCCGUCAAAAGUCUGCUUCUAGAAUGUGAGGUCAAGGGGAAUUUGCACCUACUAGAACUCUGUGCGGAAACAGCGAUAAAUAGUGAGCACCCAUUUUUGUAGAAAACAAUUUCAGUCUACACAACGUAAAUAUCAUAGUCAUCUAGGUAGUAUCAAGAGCUGGCUAAGCAAGGGCUGCCGCAAAGCCAACGGACAACCACAACAUUUCUUCUGACUGUAAAAAGCCGGCACCAAUUCCCCUUUGAUCUCACAGUUCUAGCAGCAGAUGGUCACUGGUAUAUUUGUCAGCAAUUAAUCUGGGGGUCGCUGGUAUCAAUAUAUUAAAAGUACAGACACUUAUGGAGUAUACCUUGUCUCAGCAAGUAGCCCAUUUAGGAUUUAAGAAUGUACUAAGGAGGAGAUGCAUUUCAAACUAAAACAAAAAGAUUUUUUUGCUAAAUAUAAUAUAUAUUUUUUGGAGAAGGGGAAGGAGAAGGUGGUGGUGAUCACCACGGGUGAGCCUGCGCUGAAAUCUCGUGUGCACGAUUCCACUACGCAUCCGCAAAAGGUAAAAUCAUUUCGGUUUCCCCUCUCCAGUUAAAUAUGAUGUCGUGUGCCUAAAGCAGAGCAAGCACAUGUUACAUACACAUGUGCAAACAGAUUCAGAAGGAGAAGAAUGGACGCAAAAAUGGUUCUAAGAAGAUGAAGGUGGUGGAGGAAGAAGGGAAGCCGUCGAAGGAGCUGCCUGUGGAAACACUGAAUAUUGUGAAGAGGAAAAGGAAAUCAAAUAAUGUACAAAAUGCCGAGUCUCGUACUGCUUCGGUGAGAAUUUCCUAUGCAUUUUUUUUCAGCCAGAAUUUCCUAUGCAUUUUUUUUCAGCCUGCACUAUUUGUUAGUAGAUGUAGAUAUGUGGUUUAUAAAUUUAUAUAUGUGGUUGUUGGUAGAUGUAUCUUGUACCACAUAAUAGUCGAUCAAUAUGUAUAUCUUGUACCAAUGUGCCUAGCUGAUAUUGAUGCUUCCUACAACAUGUCCGAAAACUACAAUACUGCAUUUUAAAUCACAUAAACAUGGAGCAUCAUUCACGGUCAAAGUUGAAUUUUGGAUUGCGCGUGGGCCUUAUUCAUUGGAACAAAGGGAGAACUAAAGAAGAGAGAUGCAUUUCAAACUAAAACUAAAUGAAAAUUAUUUGCCUAAAUAGAAUUCAUUUGACUAUUUUUUUCUACUUUGUAUUUUUCUCCUCUUAAACGUAAUAUCAACACAUGAUAACUCUUUAAAGCAAUAAAGAAAUAUUAGCAUCAAGGAUCUGUUUAAUGAUGUUUUCACUUGCUGCCUUUGGUGCAAGCGUGGAUCGUUGUUAUAUAUACCUCAAGAAAGUGAUCUAUGGAGGGAGGACUGGCACGAGCCAUGUCAUGCUUUGAGCUGCCUCAAAUAAAUAUCAUGCAACUAUAUUUGUGCUGAUUUGGAUGGAGCAAAAUACUCUCUAUUAUCCUAGUAAACAUAUUAAACUCAUGGUGCUUUGCUUCUUUCGGCACACUUUGACUAGGCACAUAGGGCAAGUAGAAUUUUUUAGACGAAUCAAAAACUAGAGUUGUGUUUCUGAUGGAAUUCUAAAACAUUACAUGUUCGCUUCUAACCAAUCUACAUUUUUAUGACAUAGUCGUGUGGUUUCCUUUUUCUUCUCUCAAAGUUUCAAGUAAUGAAUUAAUAUGUGAUCCUGAUUUUUGUCGCACUUCCAGACUGGCAACAACAGAAAGCCACAACUUCGGAGAUCUGCUCGACUUAUGCUCAGUCCGCCUGAAAAUGAUCAUAAGUAGACUUUAGAGUAACGUCUAUUUUGGGAGAAUCAAAAUAGAUUGCUUUAUUCAAAAUACUUUCCUUUAUCUUGUUGUUUGGAAUUCUUCGGAUACAUACCAUGGAUAUGUUGGUUCUUGAAUUUUACAAGCGCCUAGUCAGACUAUCUAGUAGUCUAUUGGAUAUGGUAGGUUUUUCGAGUAAUUGGCAAUGCUGUCGCCUUUCAAUUACAAGAACAUGGUUAUUUUACAACUGCUUUUACAAGCGACUAUUUUGGGAAGUAUAGUUGAGGCAGGUGCACUAUUCGUGAAGGAGGCAACUACAAGAAUUGUGCACGGAUAUCUGCUAGGGCUAGGUGCGCCACAACCUGAUAAAUCAUUCCCUGUCCAUCGAAAACCCGGCGAUUCCUCUUUUUCCAGGCAUUCCAUAGGGUGUAGAUCAAAUUCUUGUUUUGCACCUUCAAACUUUGCUCCCAAGGGAUAGCCAGGUAUUCCUCCCACAAAUUGUUGACAGAUUGAUUAGGGUUUUUUGUCAUCAUCAGGGACACAUGGCAGUCUUGACAUUCACCGCCUUCCAUACGUCCUUUGAGAAGGGACAAUCCUUGUAAAGGUGGCACGGUGUCUCAUUGGUCGCUAAGCAUAAGUGAAACCGGGCUAUGGGGCAAAUCCUAUUUGCUAGAUCCGCCGUCAUCAGGAUUCUACCAUGCAACACGAGCCAAGUAGAAAGCUUGCAUUUGGGAGUGGUUGUUUCCUUCCAAACCUUCCCAAUACGAAAAGGCUGCACAUGGCCAAGGGUAUCUUAUACACAAAUUUAGUCAAGAAUUCAUCUGAGGCCAUCCAUACGCAGUUGCGUCGGGGUGUUAAGGCCUACGACAACUGUUAUCCACUUAUCCCCUGGAGACCCUGGUUCAUCGUCCUGAUCUUCCUAGUUGCAAUCUUGAAAAGCUCUGGGGCACGGUGCAAAGUGCGGAAUACCCAAUACAGUAAUCUUUUCAAAAACUUGUCUACACGCCAUCGCAAACAGUGAUUGUGGUAGAGGCAUGAAAUGGAUCCAUGUCUGAGUCACUGCAAGGCAGGUUCGAACCGACCCAAGGGCGCUCCGGGUUGUUCCAUUGGAACCAAGGCUAGCGCAGGCCCAAGGCUCCGCCGAAGCGGUCAAGGUCAGCAUAACAUGGGUUGUUGGCAUGCAUACAUGGAUGGGUAUGUUGAUGAUAAUCAUGCUUACAUAAUUGUACAAAACUACGUACAAUGCAUUGAAAAUGAACUUUCAUGUCCUAGUGAUAAACCCUAGCUUUACUAUUUGAUUAACCUAUCAACACACAUACAUGAACUUAUCGCAGUCGCUUGCUUCUUAUGCAAGCUAAAGCUGUCAUGGAUACAAAGGAUGGCUUAUACUUGUGCUUACGUGCUCACUAACUCCAAUGUGGGUAGGAUCUGAUCUGUAAACAUUGUCAUGGGGCCAUCAUGAGCGGUGGUUAUGUGUGGUCCUCUAGGUAGGCUUAGUUACGUAGUUCAAAAGCUCCUUGGUUGAUUCUUUCGAGGGGGCCCUUUUCCAAAUAAAGAUGCUGUUUAGUUUGAAGUCAAAGAUUGUUUAGUUAUGGCCUCAUUUAGCAGAACUAGCUAGUAUUUAACAUAUACCAAGUUUUUGUAUGAUCGUGCUAGCGAUCUCAUACACUUCAUUGUUCAUACCUUUUUUGGGGCGAAAUGAUGCUUCACAACUCUAUGUCCAUAUUAUGAUUGUACCAAUGUUGGCAUUAAUAUGCAUGGCCAAAUCGGAACAACUUGAGAGUGGGUCCUUGACAAUUGCUACUUCCACAUAUUAGGGGGAUAAAACUACAAUGUUGAUAGAAACACAUCCUAAGUCCAUACCAUAAUGCACCAUAGACAAAGGAACAUAUUAAUUUUAGGCAUAUGAAAUAAGUAAUUUCCCAAUCCUCCAUGUACUUUGAUAUAAUUCCGGUACACUCUAUGCUCGCUCUUGAAUUCCCUUCGAAAACUUGGGUGGCACUAAACAGAAUUUGUUGAAACUUCUUCUGGUGUGGGAAGAAGGAUGCGAGUGGUGGUAGUUGUGUAGUGUCUUGGGAGACAGUCUGCGCCCUGAGGUGUGUUAGUGGUCUGGGCAUCCCCAACCUGAGAUAGUUUAGCAUUGCCAUGCAAGCUCGAUGGCCUUGGUCACCAUGUGGAUCAAGGCAGACAUUGGGAGGAGUUUAAAAUCGCCAUACCGGAUGAAUCCCUAGCAAUAUUCGGAGCAACCACUCUGGCCACUACCAGUGAUGGGAGCACCACCUUUUCCAGGAAGAACAAUUGCUCGAUGGGAUGAGAAUGGAAGAUAUGGCACCCCACCUAUACUCCAAGGUUCCUCAGAGGUUAAAAUCUACUCGAAUGGUCAGGGCUGCCUUAUUGGACGCAACAAGAGCAUGAGAUGUGGGCCCCAACCUGGACUUGGCCAUGUUAUUAGAGUACUUGGCGGUAUGGCCAAGAGUGGCAGCGGUGCAGUUAGUUCCUGAGACUCCGGACACCAUCUCUUAGUCCUGGGAGAAGAAUGGUGAGAUCUGCUUAUGCCACUAAGUUUGCAGGGGGGGCGCCGUACUCAUAGCGGAAUUCACUUGGAAAUCCAAUGCGCCUUUGCAACGUCGCCUCUUCAUGCGGAUAGCCCCAAGGACCAGUAGUUAGACAUCCAACAGACUUAGCAGGGGAGGACUACCGCAUCAAGAUACAUGCCCGUUUGUGCUCAACAAGAUGGACAAUCAACCACAUUCUCCUGGACUCUGUUUUCGCGAGAACUGUCUGGUGGGAAAUCAGUAGAGCCCUAGGCAUGCCAAGGUAGGCAUUGUGGACAAACGACAUACUUGACAAAUGGUGCGUCAACAUGGUUGGUGUUGGGCACAAACCAAGAGACAUACGAGCCAUUCUCACCUUGACCAUGUGGGAACUAUGGAAGCACAUAAAUGCAAUUGUGUUUGAUGGAGCAACACCCUCGAUACAACAUGUGAUAAGUAGGAUGAUUACCGAGGGUCAAAUGUGGAGGCUGGCCGGUAUAUUAAAAGGAGAACUAGACCCCUACUUUGGGGCAUUGACUAGGUGGGUUCAGAGCGAGUAGUCCACUUUCAUGCUAAGGGUAAGGGUAGAUGUGGAGUGCAAAGCAUUGUAAGCAUAAUGUAGCGAUACCAUGGACAUGGAUGGGCCAUCUUGCUUUUCUUCUUUAAUACAUGAUACGCAUGCUUGUGCAUAUUCAAGAAAAAAAAUCCCGUUAAAUCUACCCAUAAAGUUGCACUUCCGUAAGAUGUCACUCUAAGGUACAAGAAAGUUACUGCACAACCCAAGUGUCAUAAACCCUAGCCCAGGAGAUAUAUAGUCAUUAUUCAUCUUGUGUCACUCAAAUUAUGCCAAUAUGUGUAAUGCUCACUAAAAGUAAUCCUAAAUAUGUACUAUAUGACUUGAAAACCUUCAUCAUUCCUUCCUAAAUCCCGUGUCUAGAAGGCCUAACUAGUAGUCAACUAUCUGGCAGGGUGGAGAUUUGACUCGAGUUCGAAAUAAUUGCAGUCACCCAAGUUUCAGUCUUUCGACCUCGUUGGGUACACAUCUUCUUAAUUACCGAGUACCAGAGCUCUGACCCAAUUGUCAACAUAGUAUAAAAUUAUAAUGUCAAUCUUGGAAAUGCCUCGUGGUAGAUUAGCUUUUGAUCCAUUCCCUAUUUGGUCUCAUAGGGUUCCUAGCAUGUCCUCUGCUGCCAAGUUAUGACUUGCUUAUACCAUUAUAUGUUUGCUAAGUUAUUUCCCAUGCUCCAUGGAGAAUUUAAGGCCACAACAACAAUCAUUUGGGGUGUGACAACAAAUAGGUUGUUUUUAUAAAAUUGAGACAACUUUGGAUAAAUUAUGACAAAUGUUUGACGAUGCACUAUUUAUGAGUGAAUAUACACAUAAAUGACAAAGAGUUCUCCGUUGAAUACGGAAAUCUGAACAUAUACUCCCACCAGAUACCUGCAACAUUACACUCACGUUAGGACUCAGCGCGAGUUUGCAAAGCCUAGCCCUAGCCCGUGUGAAUUCAGGAAUGGCAAAAAGGAAACAAGUUUUUCUGAUGGUAAAGACGAGCACUAACACUAACAUUGACAAAAUAAUGGAAAAUUAUCCAUACAUAGUACAUACCAUAGUAUGCAUAGCAUAUUUGCUGAAAAAGUGUAUAUGGUUCAGUUAACAAUAUUUGGGUUUAAAUGAUCCUUCAAAUAUUUCAUUAUAUUGGUGGUUUUAGUUAUUAUUAUGAGAGAUUUUUAAAUAAUAAUUCUCAUAUUCAGCAUACUCAUAAAUCGUGGUAAAUUCAUUGUUUCACAGGAAUUACAUGAUGUUUUUUUUUGGAAUACUUUGAAUUGCUUACCACAUGUGUCACAGGAAUUACAUGGUGUUGUAUGGCCAACCCAUAUCAUGGAGAGGCCAGAUUCUGAAUUCAAGGAAAAGUUGAUGCGUCUUCUCCGCAAACCAUUUAGCCAGGGAGAAUUUGAUACGCUGCUUGACAAGGCUAUGAUUCGCCCUCUGGCAACAAUGAAAAGGCAAACACGGGGUGGCGUGAAGUACUACAACUCUGAAAAUGAAAGGCAACCAUCAUAUUUUGAUGGUUACCCAGGUAUGCUUGCUUUUAUACUACGUACAUACUUUUUUUGUUCAUUGGACUUCUGUUAUGCACUAUUCCCCUUAUUAUUUUUAUGUUGAAACAUCUUUCUGGGAAUUAUUGCGACCACAUGGCUAAAGUAACUUUUAUGCACAAUGAUUAUAGGAUCAGAAUCAUUUUCCAUGCCUAAUGAACACUCUGCCUUGUUAUUUAAGAAACAAUUUGUGGUUGUCUUUGCUCGCGAUUGACAUUUCCUUUUGAACCUUGAAAUUUGCAAGCCAACAUUGUGUUUUUCGGUGAUAUAUUGGUUUACAAGCUUGUUAAAUCUAUGUCCAAAAUAUCUUGCUGACGGAUUGCUUGAAUCUAUGGUGAACAUACACUUUCUAUAGAUACACUUGAAACCCCUGUACGCUUAGGUAAUUAGCAGGACUUCGGAACAACAAGCAUUGUGGCAUUUUCAUAAUUGUAUUGCGCAAAUUUUCAUAUAAUUCUUAUUUUCAUCUUUGGUAAAAUACAAAGCUUGCAUCUCAAUAAAUUGAUAGAAGAAAAGUGGUUGUGGAGCAAUUACACAACACAACAUGUCGGCGCAGAAGUCCAGCUUUCCUGUGAGAGGAUUUUGGAGCAAUUUUGCCAAAUACCUGAAAUAGAAAUAGUUUGUUGUGGAGAACUAUACUGAUAAUGAAUGCGCUGUGUUGAAUUAAAAUUGAGUAACUUAGCUUUCAGCACAUGUCCAAAGGUUUAUUUUAUUUGCUAUAAUAAAUGACUAUCUUUUGCUUGAGAAGUUAUCUUUCCAAAUAAGACGAGAAAGUAGCAGCAAAUCAUAUUGGUAUCUGGUUUGAAGUAAUCUGUUAUGCGGUUGUUCAAGAAACACUGAUUCUUACAAGUCGUACUAUUAAUCAACACGUUUUAUUGUAUUUAACUUCAGAACUUGCGAAACAAGUACGUGUAGAAAGCACCAGCAAACCCAACCAGUUAGCUCUGUUGCGUGGAUUUUUCUUCUGGAUGGAGGUAACCUCAUUCAUAGCAUUUCUUUGUUUUUUCGUUAAUAACCGAUAAUGGCUCCACCUGUUGUUAAAGAACGGAGUAAUACAUUUUUUACCUGUUCCCAGUUAGAGCAAAUCUAUUUCUUUUUGUUUAGAGAAUUUUUUGUUAAUGGAGGCAGCCCAAUAUUGACCUGUUAAAGAUCAUGCUGGUACAUUACCAAUCGUAGUUAAUGAAUUUAUUUGCAGCAAAGUACUAACAGCUACGGUGCAUCAGUGUGAGUUUUUCUUGUUGCUAAUUUUGAAAAAUCAUGGCAUAAACCUAGUUCACUUUUGCAAAAGAUAAAGCUAGUUCACAACGGAGUAACUACCAUGUGAUUUCUUCAUAUUGCUUGAUUGUUAAUAGUAUGUGCCAGCUUCUUAUAUAGGUGGUCCCUCCCCGCAAAAAAAGAGAUGGAUUUCCCUAUCAAAUGGCCAAUUACAUAGCAAUAUUACAUUUCCCCUUAUUUGGUUAGUUAGGCCAACUGAAUGUACUGACCUGUGUCCCUAAUAAUCUACUCCCUUCCUUUGUAGAAUAUUGCGCAUCACGACCAAUUCAGGCCAUGGAGAGAUGAUUUCAAACAGUACAAAGUUACUAUGAUAGAAAUAGAGUAAGAUCACAAACAGAAUUACAGAAGAGUUUGUGCCUUCUCGAUUGAGGUGGCAUAGCCCCAGUUUCUCCUUGUUUUACUAGUUUGGUCUCCAGUGUGCAUCUUACACUGGUUGCUAUUGUUAUUUUGUCUCCAAAAACGUAGAGCUGAUGCUACCAGAAACUAGUAGCAUAUCACUCCCCAAAAUCAAUUAUCUUGAGACAGGGGUAUACCAUAGUUUGCUCAGCUUUUUCUUUCAGACAGAAGGUUUAUGGACGACAAUGUAUUAUUUUUAUAUGUGCAACUGCAGUCAUAACGUUGGAGUGCUCUCUGGUUCAUGCAUCUUUCUCAUGGAAGAGCAAGUGUUUACAAAUCAGCCUUUGGAUGGGAAAACCACUCUCUAGCAGAGUUAUAUACAUCAUUUUCUUUGAGUGAAAUAUACGUCUGUUUACAUCUGGGAUCUAGCUGCUGUCGAAUUUGACAUGGGGUUUUCCCAUGCUGAAAUUGAGCACUCUAGAUCUCAUGAUGUACUUUUUCUUUUUUGACGGAACCUCGCCGUGCUCCUGAAGAAGAAUAUAUAUAUUGGCUCGAUUUAUGCAGAAAACUAGCCCGAAAAAGCAUACAAGGGAUGAUUGAUUAAGGGCCAUGAACAAGAUCACCCCCAGCUAGCACCCUUCAUCAUUUUGAUGUUAGCCUUAGAUGAGUGGUUUGGGUAGUGGCCCAGCUAACACGCCUUUAUCAUUUGGAUAGAAGUAGUAGCAUAUGUUGCCAAGAUGGCGGAUUCAGGCAUAGUGUUGUAAUACUUUGUAAGGACCUCGAAAAUAAUCAAUAAAGUGGCCGCAUGUAUCUUCCAUAUCAUAUGCAGAGGCCAGGGGUCAUCCUCGUUUUCUAAAAAAAAUGAACAAGAUCACCGGCCAAACUUGGCCUCCACCGCCAACAUGGAUUUAUUUAGGGCAUCGACCACCAUCACCAUCAGCAAUGGAGUGAAGUUGCUAUUCUGGCAUGACAACCGGAGCAGUAAGGACCUCCUCAAGGCCUACGCUCCCGAGCUCUUCAAGAUCGCAACCAGAAAUAUUAGGACGAAUAUGAAGGAGCUAGAAGAUGAGAAUUAGAUCUCUAUCCUUGCAUGUCUUCAUUCCCCGGCUCAGCUCUGUGACUUGUCCACCUUUGGACGAUGCUAUCCUAACCGCCCUUGCUCCAAGCCAGGAGGACCGAAUAUCUUGGAAUGGACAUCCGAUGACAUUUACUCCUUGGCUUUGGCCUACACGGCUCAAACCCACGGAUCCCACCCCAAAUUCUCGCCGGCGAAGAUUUGGUCAGCAUUCUGUUGGUCGCAUGAUCCGAGAUGCCACUUGCGCCUGGAGGAGCCGGAAACCGCUAAGCAC
rnacentral:lncRNA from 1 species